rnacentral:rRNA from 1 species
AGUGAACGCUGGCGGUAGGCCUAACACAUGCAAGUCGAACGGCAGCACAGUAAGAGCUUGCUCUUACGGGUGGCGAGUGGCGGACGGGUGAGGAAUACAUCGGAAUCUACUUUUUCGUGGGGGAUAACGUAGGGAAACUUACGCUAAUACCGCAUACGACCUACGGGUGAAAGCAGGGGAUCUUCGGACCUUGCGCGAUUGAAUGAGCCGAUGUCGGAUUAGCUAGUUGGCGGGGUAAAGGCCCACCAAGGCGACGAUCCGUAGCUGGUCUGAGAGGAUGAUCAGCCACACUGGAACUGAGACACGGUCCAGACUCCUACGGGAGGCAGCAGUGGGGAAUAUUGGACAAUGGGCGCAAGUCUGAUCCAGCCAUGCCGCGUGGGUGAAGAAGGCCUUCGGGUUGUAAAGCCCUUUUGUUGGGAAAGAAAAGCAGCAGGUUAAUACCCCGCUGUUCUGACGGUACCCAAGGAAUAAGCACCGGCUAACUUCGUG